rnacentral:rRNA from 1 species
UGGGGAAUAUUGGGCAAUGGGCGCAAGCCUGACCCAGCAACGCCGCGUGAAGGAAGAAGGCUUUCGGGUUGUAAACUUCUUUUAAGAGGGAAGAGCAGAAGACGGUACCUCUUGAAUAAGCCACGGCUAACUACGUGCCAGCAGCCGCGGUAAUACGUAGGUGGCAAGCGUUGUCCGGAUUUACUGGGUGUAAAGGGCGUGCAGCCGGGAGUGCAAGUCAGAUGUGAAAUCCCGCGGCUCAACCGCGGAACUGCAUUUGAAACUGUGCUUCUUGAGUACUGGAGAGGCAGACGGAAUUCCUAGUGUAGCGGUGAAAUGCGUAGAUAUUAGGAGGAACACCAGUGGCGAAGGCGGUCUGCUGGACAGCAACUGACGGUGAGGCGCGAAAGCGUGGGGAGCAAACAGG